CCCAGCUCACUCUGACAUUUAUAAUAAUGAAGAGAACAAUAGCAUAGAACUUUAAUUCUGAUUAAUGA
rnacentral:snoRNA from 1 species